AUCAACUUUCGAUGGUAGGAUAGAGGCCUACCAUGGUGGUAACGGGUAACGGGGUGUUAGGGCACGACACCGGAGAGGGAGCCUGAGAAACGGCUACCACAUCCAAGGAUGGCAGCAGGCGCGCAAAUUACCCAAUCCCGACACGGGGAGGUAGUGACAAUAAAUAACAAUACGGGGUUCUUUAGGAUCUCGUAAUUGGAAUGAGUACAAUUUAAAUCUCUUAACGAGGAACAAUUGGAGGGCAAGUCUGGUGCCAGCAGCCGCGGUAAUUCCAGCUCCAAUAGCGUAUAUUAAAGUUGUUGCAGUUAAAAAGCUCGUAGUUGAAUUUCGGGGUCAGUAGGUUGGUCGUGCCACCGGUACGUACUGGUCUCACUGAUUCCUCCUUCCUGAUGAGCUGUAAUGCCAUUAAUUUGGUGUUGCAGGGAAUCUGGACUGUUACUUUGAAAAAAUUAGAGUGUUUAAAGCAGGCUAACGCUUGAAUACAUUAGCAUGGAAUAAUGAAAUAGGACGUUCGAUCCUAUUUUGUUGGUUUCUAGGAUUGACGUAAUGAUUAAUAGGGAUAGUUGGGGGCAUUAGUAUUCAAUUGUCAGAGGUGAAAUUCUUGGAUUUAUUGAAGACUAACUACUGCGAAAGCAUUUGCCAAGGAUGUUUUCAUUAAUCAAGAACGAAAGUUAGGGGAUCGAAGACGAUCAGAUACCGUCGUAGUCUUAACCAUAAACUAUGCCGACUAGGAAUCAGACGAUGUUAAUUUUUUAAUGACUCGUUUGGCACCUUACGGGAAACCAAAGUGUUUGGGUUC
rnacentral:rRNA from 1 species